UACGGGGGGAGCAAACGUUGUUCGGAAUCACUGGGCGUAAAGCGCACGUAGGCGGCUUGUUAAGUCAGGGGUGAAAUCCCGGGGCUCAACCCCGGAACUGCCUUUGAUACUGGUAGUCUCGAGUCCGGAAGAGGUGAGUGGAAUUCCGAGUGUAGAGGUGAAAUUCGUAGAUAUUCGGAGGAACACCAGUGGCGAAGGCGGCUCACUGGUCCGGUACUGACGCUGAGGUGCGAAAGCGUGGGGAGCAAACAGG
rnacentral:rRNA from 1 species